rnacentral:rRNA from 1 species
AACGAACGCUGGCGGCAUGCCUAAUACAUGCAAGUCGAACGAUCACUUCGGUGAUAGUGGCGCACGGGUGCGUAACGCGUGGGAAUCUGCCCUUGGGUUCGGAAUAACAGCGGGAAACUGCUGCUAAUACCGGAUGAUGACGUAAGUCCAAAGAUUUAUCGCCCAAGGAUGAGCCCGCGUAGGAUUAGCUAGUUGGUGGGGUAAAGGCCUACCAAGGCGACGAUCCUUAGCUGGUCUGAGAGGAUGAUCAGCCACACUGGGACUGAGACACGGCCCAGACUCCUACGGGAGGCAGCAGUAGGGAAUAUUGGACAAUGGGGGCAACCCUGAUCCAGCAAUGCCGCGUGAGUGAUGAAGGCCUUAGGGUUGUAAAGCUCUUUUACCAGAGAUGAUAAUGACAGUAUCUGGGGAAUAAGCCCCGGCUAACUCCGUGCCAGCCGCCGCCGUAACAC